AACGCGAAGAACCUUACCUGGGUUUGACAUGGUGGGAAAAGCCACAGAGAUGUGGUGUCCUUUUGGGCCCAUCACAGGUGGUGCAUGGCUGUCGUCAGCUCGUGUCGUGAGAUGUUGGGUUAAGUCCCGCAACGAGCGCAACCCUUGUCCUAUGUUGCCAGCGCGUAAUGGCGGGGACUCGUAGGAGACUGCCGGGGUCAACUCGGAGGAAGGUGGGGACGACGUCAAGUCAUCAUGCCCCUUAUGUCCAGGGCUGCAAACAUGCUACAAUGGCCGGUACAAAGGGCUGCGAGACCGCGAGGUUGAGCGAAUCCCACAAAGCCGGUCUCAGUUCGGAUCGGAGUCUGCAACUCGACUCCGUGAAGCUGGAGUUGCUAGUAAUCCCGGAUCAGCAACGCCGGGGUGAAUACGUUCCCGGGCCUUGUACACACCGCUCGUC
rnacentral:rRNA from 1 species